UUAAUAAUAUCCUUUUUAGCAUGCUCCUACAAAUUAUGUUUUUUUUUAUAAAAAAAAAAUCUAAAUAAUACCCCUAUAUAAUCAACUUCUAACUGAGAGGAUGACUGGUAUCCUUUGGAUGUGUUAGUGUCGGCUAAAAAUAAAAAUGAAAAGGUGGUCAAAAUUUGGGGUACGACAGUUUCCCCUAUUUAAUCAACUUCUAACUGAGAGGAUGAU
rnacentral:lncRNA from 1 species